GACGAACGCUGGCGGCGUGCUUAACACAUGCAAGUCGAACGGGAGUAUCGAAGAAGCUUGCUUUUAAGAUACUUUAGUGGCGGACGGGUGAGUAACGCGUGAGGAGCUGUCCUAUGCAGGGGGACAACAGUUGGAAACGACUGCUAAUACCCCAUAAGCCGAGAGGUAAAAGGAUUUAUCCGGCAAAGGAGGUACUCGCGUCCUAUCAGCUAGUAGGUGGGGUAACGGCUCACCUAGGCGAAGACGGGUAGCCGGCCUGAGAGGGCGAACGGCCACACUGGAACUGAGAUACGGUCCAGACUCCUACGGGAGGCAGCAGUGGGGAAUAUUGGGCAAUGGGGGGAACCCUGACCCAGCGACGCCGCGUGGGUGAAGAAAUCCCUCGGGAUGUAAAGCCCUGUUGUAUGGGAAGAGCGGAAGACGGUACCAUACGAGGAAGCCCCGGCAAACUACGUGCCAGCCGCCGCCGUAA
rnacentral:rRNA from 1 species